AUUGAACGCUGGCGGCAGGCCUAACACAUGCAAGUCGAGCGGAGGAAGGGCGCUUGCUCCUGGAUUCAGCGGCGGACGGGUGAGUAAUGCCUAGGAAUCUGCCUGGUUGUGGGGGAUAACGUCCGGACACGGGCGCUAAUACCGCAUACGUCCUGAGGGAGAAAGUGGGGGAUCUUCGGACCUCACGCUAUCAGAUGAGCCUAGGUCGGAUUAGCUAGUUGGUGGGGUAAAGGCCUACCAAGGCGACGAUCCGUAACUGGUCUGAGAGGAUGAUCAGUCACACUGGAACUGAGACACGGUCCAGACUCCUACGGGAGGCAGCAGUGGGGAAUAUUGGACAAUGGGCGAAAGCCUGAUCCAGCCAUGCCGCGUGUGUGAAGAAGGUCUUCGGAUUGUAAAGCACUUUAAGUGGGGAGGAAGGGCAGUAAGUUAAUACCUUGCUGUUUUGACGUUACCAACAGAAUAAGCACCGGCUAACUUCGUG
rnacentral:rRNA from 1 species